CUAUGGGCCAGCCGCCCUUUCUUUUUUUGAAAGAGAGGUUCCAUUCGUUUACAUGCAGGGGGCGGGGUUUAUGAGCGGAACUUCUCAGGACUCGGUUUUAUGCCCCGGCACACAAGUCUGAUUUUUGGCGCUUGGAACUCCUUAACCCGAGAGCUUUUUGGAAAGAGAGAAGGUUUAACAUCAAAGUCUGUCCGUAAUGCCAGUGAAGAUCCUCCCACAACUAUCAAACCUUCAGGGAAGCUCCUCCCACAACUAUCACACAUUCAGUGAAGAUCCUCCCACAACAAUCACACCAUCAGUGAAGCUCCUCCCACUGCAGUUCAUCAAUAAAUGCUGAAAUAUUCCCUUGAGUCUACAAGUGACAACGAGCAUCAAAGCAUCAGAAAGAAGUGAAAUCUGCAGAGACAGAGUUUAUUGAAGAACAGAGAGAACAUGAGAGAUCCAGAACCCUGCAGAAUGAAACACACUGAAGAACAAACAGAGUUGAUUGAAGAAAAUGAGGAGAAUGAAGAGGAGCAGAAGCAACAUGUCAAAACUGGAGAAAACUCUUUGAGUUGCCCUCCAACCAAACAGAAAGAUUUAAAGAAGAGAAGAGACGAGAAAUCUUUCACCUGCACUCAGUGUGGAAAGAGUUUGAUAAACAAACAGAGUCUUGAGAUUCACAUGAGGAUCCACACUGGAGAGAAACCAUACAGAUGUGAUCGUUGUGAGAAGAGUUUUACAGCAUCAUCAAACCUUAAGAUACACAUGAACAUCCACACUGGAGAGAAACUUUAUGAAUGUGAUCAAUGUGGAAAAACAUUUUUGACGGCUACAAACCUGAAGAGUCACCUGAAAGUUCAUUCAAAGGAGAAACCACAUUCAUGUUCAUGUGGAAAGAGGUUUUCACUUUUGCAAAAUUUAAAAGUUCAUCAGAAGAUACACACUGGUGUGAAAGAAUAUAUGUGCUUUGAGUGUGAGAAGACUUUUAUUAGAGCUGAAAGUUUGAAACAUCACCAGUGGAUCCACACUGGAGAGAAACCUUACAAGUGUUCACACUGUGACAAGAGAUUCAUUCGGUUAGGAUCCCUGAAAUCACAUGAGAGGAUCCACACUGGAGAGAAACCUUACAAGUGUUCACACUGCGACAAGAGAUUCAAUCAGUCAGGAUCUCUGCUUACACAUGAGAGGAUCCACACUGGAGAGAAACCUUACAAGUGUUCACACUGUGACAAGAGAUUCAGUCGGUUAGGAAAUCUGGAGACACAUGAGAGGAUCCACACUGGAGAGAAACCUUACAAGUGUUCACACUGUGACAAGAGAUUCAGUCAGACAGCACCCCUGAAAUCACAUGAGAGGAUCCACACUGGAGAGAAACCGUAUCACUGCACUGUAUGUGGGAAGAGUUUCCGUUAUUCAUCUUCUCUACUUAAGCAUAACAAAGAACAUUCACAGUCAGUAGUAGGGGAUACACAGACUAAUCGACUACUCGAUAUCAAUGUUCUGCCAUGACGCUUUAAGCUUGAUGUUGAUUAGUCGCUGGUCCUAUAGAUGGCACAACAGGAUGCUUGAAAUUGAACGGGAGAAUGCACAUUUUAAACAGCUUAUUGUACAGACCUGAUGGAGAAACAUCAUGUCAAAAAUGGAAAAAUCAAUGACAAGUCACAGACUGAAAGUAUCUCUUUACAGAAAAGAAAAGAGGAGAAAAGAUUCACCUGUGCUCAGUGCGGAAAGAGUUUGACAUGCAGGAAGAGUCUCAAUAUUCACAUGAGGAUCCACACUGGAGAGAAAGCAUACACAUGUGAUCAGUGCGGGAAGAGUUUCAGACAACAAGGACACCUUAAGGACCACAUGAACGUCCACAGUGUAGAGAAGCCGCACACGUGUGAUCAAUGUGGAAAGUGUUUCGCAUACAAACAGAGUCUCAAGGUUCACAGGAAGAUCCACACUGGAGAGAAAGCAUACACAUGUGAUCAGUGUGGAAAGCGCUUCAGACAAUCGGCACACCUUAAGGAGCACUUGAACAGCCACAAUGUAGAGGAGCUGCACACAUGUGACCAGUGCAACAAAACAUAUCUGUGGGCUUCAGGCCUGAAGAAGCACCUGAAAGUUCAUUCAAAGGAGAAACCAUAUUCAUAUUUUUUAUGUGGAAGCCAUUCAGAAGUCUGUCAGUGGGUGUUAACAGAUGCUGGAGACCAUGAAGAUGGAUGCAUAGAGGAAAUGGAGGAGAUAAUAGUGUGAUAGGUUAUGUUAUGUCACAAAAGGUUUGGCAACAGUUCUGGAACCAGUCAACAACCGAUCAUACAGGGUUGAACUGGACAGUGGUGGUGUUCUGAGGAGAAACAGAACGUACCUUAGACACACUGGCCAUCAAGAUCAGGUCACGAAACAAGAAAAGUUUGCUGAGAACAACAGACAAAUGGAGGUUUUUUUUCUUCUGCCAAAUGGUGACACAAAACCUACUGUCACUAACAGAGCAGGUCAGAUUAGUGUCAAAACACAGUAUUUGAAGGACUUUGUUACAUAUUUAAACAUGGACUGAUUCUUAUACCCUCUCUUUUAUAUAAAACAUGUUCUGCAGGCUGAGAAAAGAAUGUGUUUAGAAAUCUAAAGCCUAUAAAUUAGAGAUGAAAAGAAAAAGAAAAGGGGGGAGAAAUAAAAAAUGUUUAGAAAUGUUCAGACAGAUACCGUGUUCAGAUAUAGAGAUAAAUAUGUGUUUGUUGCAAUUGUGUGGGAAAAAAAAGGAUUUAAAAAAUGUGAUUUUUAUUUACGACAGCUUUUAGUGCAACGUUGGGAAAAAAAAUCUAAGAUCUCAAGAUUAAAGUCGUAAAAUUUGGAGAAUAAAGUCGAAAUAUUACGAGAAUAAAGUCGAAAUAUUACGAGAAUAAAGUUUAAAUAUUAUGAGAAUAAAGUCUUAAUACUACAAGAAUAAAGCCAAAAU